GGUGUAGUCAAAAUCCACCGUGGAGCUCCAACGUUAACAAAAGACCACACCCUGCCUCUCCAACCCACCGUUCAAAUCCACCGUGGAUGAAUACUCCAGUCUCACCUUGUCAAACUUGACAAGAUCAACUCCUCUUGUCAAAUCUUUUUUUAUUGUUUUUCUUUUUCCAUUUUCCCUUCUCUUCUCAUCGUCGUUCUGCCCAGAUUGAUGUUCAUGGCAGGCCUUCAAAUCUUCCUCUAGUCCAUGUAUUUCUUCCUACAAUACCCAAAUUUCGCACCCAGACCUUCAUCCUUCAUUCAAACCCAGACAAAAUUUUCGCACCCAGACCUUCGUUCAAACCAAACAAAAUAUUUUUCAUUCAAAUUUGGGGAAAUAAAGAAAAGAGAUUGGAGGGUUGAGAGUUCGAAAUGAAAAACUCACGGAUUGGAUUUAAGGUGUGAUUGUCAUGCAUGUCGCAUCUUGAGGUCGGAUCGAGACUGUAUUCACGAUAUUGAUGCUUCUUUGAUCUCACAUAUAAACUAAAAGAGGAAGAAGGGAAAGAUAACAGAAGAGAUCGAAGAAGAUGAAGAGAGAAAUAGAGAGAGGGCAGAUGAAGGAGAAGGAGAAGGAGUAGUGGGUGCGAUAGUGGAGUCCCAAAGUAAUGAAAUGGAUCAGUGAAAAUAGGAUUUUUGUGUUUGAUCGGUGAGAAAGAGAUAAGCAGUUGAGUUUGAGUUGAG
rnacentral:lncRNA from 1 species